ensembl:lncRNA
ACGAAAUGAGUGAGGAGACCACAACCUCCAGAGUAUUUAUGAAACGUAACUUUUGCAGCACUAUAGACCACAAAAUAUUCACAUAUAUUCACAUACAAUUAAUGACCAUAGUAACUUGCGCAAGCUCGAACGUGAAAAAGAGCAGGAGGUUAUGAAAAUGUUUCUGGAGGAAGGAAGGGGCCAGUUAGCCAGUUUGGCCCAGGCCCGACGUAUGUUACAGAGAGAUGAGGAGAGGACAGCUGAGAAGGUUAAAUGGAUCGAUGAGCCCCCGCCUUACAAGGGCGCACAAUGCCCUCUAGUAUCGGCGGUAGUAACGAUCAAAGGAGAGGUUGAGAUGGAAAGGGACAAACCCUGGGUGUCUUCCCCUUUGGGGAAAGGUGGACGGUCCAAGGGAAAACCUGCCCUUCAACUAGAUUGUUACAAAGAAUGUAUAGAUUGGUUGGAGUGUAAUAAGACGGGAGGGGGGAAAUCAAGAGACAGGAAGAGCAAGUCCAAAAGCUGUCAACGUAAGCUUGUCCAGCAGGUAGAACAACUUAGGGAGUCGCAGUGGGGGGAGUCAGAUCCACAGGAUGACACAGACAGCCAGGCAGAGGAGGAACAGGAACAGUCUGAGGAAGAGUAUGAGGGGGCCGCAGCUGCUCCUGGCCGCUAUGGCAGGGAGCCAGAGGGUAGACUAAGGAGCGCACACACAUUAAAAACACCCAGGCACUAUACCAAAAUGGCACCUAUUCUAGUUAAGGGGCAUCAACAUCAUUAUGUACCAUGGCCAACUCAGGAAAUGGAGGGCCUGGUUGUGAAAUUACCUAAUCUCCACAAUGGGGCUGGAAAAUGGAUUAGAGUGCUUGAAGAAUUGACCACGGGUAAAAUACUGGCGACGGGGGACAUCAAAGCCUUGCUGGUCAGAGUGCUGGGUACGACUAAAGCGGAGGUGGUGCUCAAAGAUGGUGGCAUGGCAUGGACAAUCGGGAGUGUUGUCGGAGAUGGGCGGUCCUUCGAUCCCUACAGACAUUUGUUGUGGAAGGCCCUGAGGGAAGAGUUCCCUGCUGUGGUGGACACUGUUGCUUUGAGAGGGGCUCCACUGGGGGACACAGACAGCCCUGCUGAAUACUUACAAAAGCAGGCGGACAGAUGGAGAAUGGAAACUGAACAUGACCCAGAAACUGACAAACUUGUGUCUCAUAUGUUCAGGAAAGCGUUGGUGGAAGCAAUGCCAGCUCCCAUAAGAACCAAGCUGGAGGAUGCUGUGGGGGUGACUACAUCAAAGACUCACAAAGAAUUUAGAGACUAUUUCGUUCAUGCUGUUGACAGAUACAGACAAAAUGAAAAAAUACUGGCUGAACAGGGGAGGGAUAUUCAGAGAAAACUCAAAACUCAAACCCAAUUACAGCUUGAUACCUGACAAAAAGAAAAAAGACCCAAGCUCCGGUUACUACAGAGGCCUCACCUGACACAAUGGCGCCUAUCCUCCAGGGAGGUCAACGCCCAGCACAACAGCCACAGGCUAUGUAUGGACCUCCCCAAAAACCAGUGGCAAAUGUGUAUACACAGCCCCCAAAAAAAGAUCAGAAUAUUGGAAGGUACCAACCUCAGAAUCUAGGUGGGCCCGGGGCCCUUAGGAAAGCCUGUUGGGGUGUCAACAAGAGGGGUACAUCAGACGAUUCUGUCCACUGAACCUGUGGAACUCCACUGCAUUUAACCCGGCCACCAAUGGUCAGGGUUGGCAGGGAGGCAACCGGGCCCCAGGGGUGUGGCAGCAGCCGCCAGGCCCGCCCAGCCAAGGUCCCGUAAAUCCUUAUGCAGGACCAAACCAGCAAUACUGAGGAGGCCCAGAGAAUCCUAUGGUGGAGGGUCAGUUUGUAACACUAACAUCACAGGCUGACGAGGAACCAAUGCUGCAGGUUCGUAUAAAUGAUAGGGGCACACCAAUGAUGGUAGAUACUGGAGUUACUUACACUUGUGUAAGUCCAAAUUACGCCUCUCACCUCCCCAAGUCAGGUAAAUAUGCUAAGACAAAAGGAUUCUCGGGACAAACGCAGCUAAUACCCAUGACAGCUCCAGUCAAAGUAACCACGAGCGGACGCUCGAUAGAAAUUCCUAUUUUAAUAUCUGAACACACUCCUGUAAACUUAUUAGAUCGGGGCGCCCUGUGCCGGCUGGGGCUACAAAUUCAGUGUUCACCAGAUGGGAUAAUCAUAGAUAACUUGGGAAUCAAAACUCAAUUGUCAAUUCACCAGGCACCAUUGGCUAACGUGUACUGGAUUGGUAACAUAGAAAACGCUGUUAGGGAGGUCACUUGUAAGUGGGGUUUGUACAUUGAAGCACAAUUACCACAGGCUAGACAGCCAGCAUUAGCCUACCAUUGCCCUCUAAAAUAUGAUCCUCAUCAGGAGUGCAUUUUCGAGCAGUUGUGGUUAGAUACAGUAAACGGUAAGCCAGUUCACGCUGUGUCUCAGUACUUUGUCAUUGGUAAACAGGGUGUGGCUAUGGAAAUAACUGAUGCUGAAGGUUCAACUCUGAUAGCCGAUUGGUUUGAUGUAUCCGGAUCAGUCCCCCACAUCACACUGCUGGUAAACGAUGGGUUCAAAGCAAAAGACCUGGGCCCUAUGAUGAAACAUGCAACGCAGGUUGCAUGGGUCAAAACUGACAAUCCCCUAAUCUUCUGUUCUCCUGAAAAUUAUCUCAUUAAAAUCCUUUGUUUUGCAGACAUUAUUGGGGAACCUCAGGAGGUCGAAGUCACCACAGGUCAGCAAGUGCAGAUGGGGAAAGUGGCAGACAGGCAGGAACAGUUACGGGAGGAGAUGGAGCGGGUGGUCCUGGAGCACUUGUGGUCUCGACAUGACACAGAUGUAGGGCUCGUUAAAUCAGCUAGUCCUGUGUUCAUUAAAGUGAAGCCAGGGGCCAAACCGGUAUGGAAGAAACAGUACUACAUGAAACCAGAGGCGGUGGCAGGUAUUGAACCCACCAUUGGGGGUCUAGCAGAGGCAGACGUGCUUGAGGAAAGUUAGCGAUUGUAACACACCUUUGUUCCCUGUUCUAAAAGCAGAUAAGCAGAAGUGGAGACUGGUUCUCCACGAUGCCAUUGGGUCACAUUUCAACACCAGAGGGACCGUUCAGACAUUUAGUCAUGGACUAUGUGGAUAUGAUAAGACCAAUCCAUGGAAAACGGUACAUGCUGGUGGUAAUUGAUAGGUUCAGCAGGUGGAUAGAAGCAACCCCCUCGAAAGAUCAGGGAGCAGGGACAGUAAUAAGGUUCCUGACAAGAGAGGUGAUGCCUAGAUUUGGCAUACCGUCAGAAAUCAGUUCUGACAAUGGGUCGGCUUUUAUUCAAAGGACACUGAAGCAGGUGAUUCAACACUUCAACAUCAAACAGAGGCUGGGUUGUGUUUACCAUCCCCAGUCCCAGGGCAUGGUAGAGAGAGCAAACGGCACGCUAAAGACCAAGAUCAAUAAGAUCUGUGCCAGCACAGGUUUGAAUUGGGUUGAUGCUCUACCAAUAGCACUAAUGAGUUGUCGCAUGGAAGCUAACAGAACCACGCAUCUAACACCGCACGAAAUGCUUACGGGUCGACCCAUGCCUGUGCCUGAGCUUCAAGGCCCUCACGAAGGGCCUCCUCUGGAGCAAUUGGAGCUGGAAUUCAGGGAAUAUAUCAGGCAACUAACUACUAUACCUGAGCUUAUUUACAAACAGGAAAGUGCGCGGGUACCGGAGCCAGAGGACGAUCAGCCCAGGGCGGUGGUUCCAGGAGACCAGGUUUACAUCAGGGUCUACAGGAGGAGGUGGAAAGAGCCCAGGAGAGACAGGCCACGGUGACGGCGGUACGAGUGGAGGGCAGCGACACGUGGUGCCACCUCAACCAUUGCACCAAGGUCCCACGAGGAGCGGAACAACAUGAGGAGGAUAAGAAUGCUGAUCUUCCAGGCACCCCCAACGCCAGAGAAACUGGUACCUUCGCCGGAGCCAUCCGAGUCCAGCAGAGAGGCGCCAAAGCCUGCUGCUGACAGCUCUGGGGCUAUGGUUGAUGCUGCCGAUCCUAGGAGAGAGGGGACGGGCGACGGCAGAACGGAUCCCUCAACUGGUGCCUCCGCAGGAAACAUCUAAGGGGGGCCGCACCCUCCUGACAUCAGUAGGAAACAGUGUCCCAUCACCGACCCCACCGACCUCGACUGACACUACAGAACUUAUUACUGACCCUAGAAACCCAGACACUGACCUUGACAGGAGGAAUGAGGCAUGUACAGCAGCAUUAUUAGCAAUGCAGGAAUAGAAAUCGCAGUCUUCAUUAGUACAGACAAGUCUGGCAAUAAGGACGAAACCACAUGGUUAGGAAGGGUAGAAGAAAAGGAACAGCAAUGGAAGAUUGUGGGUCACAGUGGGAAAGGGGAGUGUGGCCCGCAGGACAGAGAGGAGGUUCAAAGUGAGGUAUUUGGUUAGAUGCAGUCGAAGGAAAUGUAGAGUGAACGCGACACCUUCUGUUACUAGAGCCAGAGCAGAACGGUUGCUUGAGAGAGUCAAGCCCACCUUAUCAAAGAGAGAGAGAGGCUGGGGAGAAAGGAAUGGGGAAUUAUGGGGCCUAGCGUGGGAUAGAGAACUAGGUAGUGCAGACUCCGACACCUCGGCGAGGGAAAAGAGAAGAUUAAGCAUGUGGUGUACUCAAAGCUAGAGAGGCUAGAAUACCCGCUAAAACCAGCGAUGAAGCCCAGAGAUCGAUAAUGGUAAACACCCAGGGUGGGGAAACACUGUGUUCUUGGGCAGAUAGUGGCCUAUACGGUCAAGCAACUUGGUCUGCAGGUAAAUGUGUCAUCACUGUACAUGAGACAAGUGGCAGAUGGGAUAUAAUUGUGCAACAUAAUAACGAGCAUCAGUUGUCUCUCCAGCUAACCAUUACCAGAUUCCCGGACGGUACCGAGAACCAUCCAAUAGAAUGGUGGAACCCAGAUGAGGGUGGCUCAGGGGAGGAGUCAUCACCUACGGCGGCAGUAGGAAAGGAGCCUCUAGUCCCUGUAUCCAGGGCAGGACGGCACGCAGCCCCAGGGGCCACGGAAGGGUGGAGAUGGCUCCCUGUACCCACGACAGAACAGGCCUUGAUUGAGGCAUUGAUGGACGGCCCGACCCGAAUGCUCCCCUGGUGGAGGCCUUCGUGAACCAGUUGUAUGAAGAAACGGGAGAGGUUUAUGUCGGAAUGGAUACAGUGGGGAAGAGUAACCCUUCUAAUCCACAGCGGGAUGUUAAAGUUUAUGAUAAGAUACCGCGCAGACACUAUCCAUGCCCAUAUAGGAUGAGUCAUUGCCAGUAUUGCAGCAAAUGAUGCCCGGCU